rnacentral:rRNA from 1 species
CAGUCGAGCGGAUGAGAGGAGCUUGCUCCUGGAUUCAGCGGCGGACGGGUGAGUAAUGCCUAGGAAUCUGCCUGGUAGUGGGGGACAACGUUUCGAAAGGAACGCUAAUACCGCAUACGUCCUACGGGAGAAAGCAGGGGACCUUCGGGCCUUGCGCUAUCAGAUGAGCCUAGGUCGGAUUAGCUAGUUGGUGAGGUAAUGGCUCACCAAGGCGACGAUCCGUAACUGGUCUGAGAGGAUGAUCAGUCACACUGGAACUGAGACACGGUCCAGACUCCUACGGGAGGCAGCAGUGGGGAAUAUUGGACAAUGGGCGAAAGCCUGAUCCAGCCAUGCCGCGUGUGUGAAGAAGGUCUUCGGAUUGUAAAGCACUUUAAGUUGGGAGGAAGGGCAGUAAAUUAAUACUUUGCUGUUUUGACGUUACCGACAGAAUAAGCACCGGCUAACUCUGUGCCAGCAGCCGCGGUAAUACAGAGGGUGCAAGCGUUAAUCGGAAUUACUGGGCGUAAAGCGCGCGUAGGUGGUUCGUUAAGUUGGAUGUGAAAUCCCCGGGCUCAACCUGGGAACUGCAUUCAAAACUGUCGAGCUAGAGUAUGGUAGAGGG